CCGUUGGUAGCUCAGUUGGCAGAGCGGUGGACUGUAGAUUCGAUUCACGAAAUAUGGCAUCGUGAAAAGCAAGUUAUCCAUAGGUCGCUGGUUCAAUUCCGGCCCGACGGA
rfam:Daphnia pulex DAPPTscaffold_4468_Cont15751, whole genome shotgun sequence.